UCACCUGCGGCACGCCGGGCAAUGCGAUGCUGCCGGGGCCAGCCGAGCUGCGGCCUCAGCGGGCUCGCCGUGCCACCGCAAUGCUCCUUCCUCCCACUGCUCCCGCUCCUGCUGCUCCUCUGCCCGCUCCUCCCGUUCCUGCUCCUCCCCUUCCUCUCUGCCGCUGCCCUUCCUCCCGCUCCUCCUCCUCCGCUCCCGCCCCGGACCCCCUUUCGCUGCCCCUCUGCCCCACGGCCGCAGCAGCAGCGGCUCUCGGGCAGGGCGAGAAACCCCCCGGAGCCCCCGGCCAUGGGCAGGGGGCUCGGGGGCCCCCAGUGCAGACCCGUCCGUGCCGUGCCCCUCCCGCCCAGCCAAAAUUCCGCUCCCGGGGCUCGCUGGAUGCGAGCGGGCGGCGCAGGAGACUGGAUGAGUGUUUCACAGGAAAUUGGGCAGUGCGUCCUCUGGCAGGAAUUGGGAAAGGCGCUGCGCUCUGCGGGUUUCCCUGGCAGCUGCCGAGUCCAAGCCAGAGAUCUUUCCUAAUUCUUUAUGUCCCUGAGACCUCUUUCCUAUUUCUCUACCUCACAUUUCUUGGUCAAUACUAUCAUCAAUAAAUACUGGUUCAGUAAAA